UACGGAGGGUGCAAGCGUUAUCCGGAUUCACUGGGUUUAAAGGGUGCGUAGGUGGGCUAGUAAGUCCGUGGUGAAAUCCCCGAGCUUAACUCGGGAACUGCCGUGGAUACUAUUAGUCUUGAAUAUCGUGGAGGUAAGCGGAAUAUGUCAUGUAGCGGUGAAAUGCUUAGAUAUGACAUAGAACACCGAUAGCGGAGGCAGCUUACUACGCGAUUAUUGACACUGAGGCACGAAAGCGUGGGGAGCAAACAGG
rnacentral:rRNA from 1 species